AACCGGAUUAGAUACCCUGGUAGUUCACGCGUUAAACGAUGUCGACUUGGAGGUUGUUCCCCUUGAGGAAGUGGCUUCCGGAGCUAACGCGUUAAGUCGACCGCCUGGGGGAGUACGGCCGCAAGGUUAAAACUCAAAUGAAUUGACGGGGGCCCGCACAACGGUGGAGCAUGUGGUUUAAUUCGAUGCAACGCGAAGAACCUUACCUACCCUUGACAUCCAGCGAACUUAGCAGAGAUGCUUUGGUGCCUUCGGGAACGCUGAGACAGGUGCUGCAUGGCUGUCGUCAGCUCGUGUUGUGAAAUGUUGGGUUAAGUCCCGCAACGAGCGCAACCCUUAUCCUUUGUUGCCAGCGAUUCGGUCGGGAACUCAAAGGAGACUGCCGGUGAUAAACCGGAGGAAGGUGGGGAUGACGUCAAGUCAUCAUGGCCCUUACGAGUAGGGCUACACACGUGCUACAAUGGCGCAUACAAAGAGAAGCGACCUCGCGAGAGCAAGCGGACCUCACAAAGUGCGUCGUAGUCCGGAUCGGAGUCUGCAACUCGACUCCGUGAAGUCGGAAUUCGCUAGUAAUUCG
rnacentral:rRNA from 1 species